GGUCGGUUAGCUCAGUUGGUUAGAGCGUCGUAUGUUGUUCUUUAUCCACUGUCAGAAAAAAUAUCUAUUAACAUGCCACAGGUACUAAUAAUGCGAAGGUCAUGAGUUCGACCCUCAUACUGACCA